GAAAACUGCUUUGUGACGGUUACGUUCAUAGCGAUGUUGCUCUUUGAUACUUCGAUGUCGAUUUUUCCUAUCAUUGUGAAGAAAAAUUCACUAAGCUUUGAAUUGUUUAUUUAUUCAAGGUAACGUAUGUUCAGUUUAGAGAGAUU
rnacentral:ncRNA from 1 species